rnacentral:rRNA from 1 species
UCAAAAUGCAUAGAAUUAUUGCUGCGGUUAAAAAGCUCGUAGUUGGAUCUGUGCUUGGGACUCGGUCCACCUUCGGGUGUGUACUGGGCUCCUUGGCUUGAGCUGUCGGUUCGUCCGUUCGUGGCCUUUACCGGUUGCGUUCGGUGGCUGACGAUUUUACUUUGAACAAAUCAGAGUGCUUAAUACAGGCGUUUCGCUUGAAUGUUCUUGCAUGGAAUAAUAGAAAAGGAUUUCGGUUCUAUUUUAUUGGUUUUAUAGACUGAGAUAAUGGUUAACAGAGACAGACGGGGGCAUUCGUAUCGCUGCGUGAGAGGUGAAAUUCUUGGACCGCAGCGAGACGAACUACAG